CCAAGGAUGUUUUCAUUAAUCAAGAACGAAAGUUGGGGGCUCGAAGACGAUUAGAUACCGUCGUAGUCUCAACCAUAAACGAUGCCGACUAGGGAUUGGCAGGUGUUUUAUUGAUGACCCUGCCAGCACCUUAUGAGAAAUCAAAGUUUUUGGGUUCCGGGGGGAGUAUGGUCGCAAGGCUGAAACUUAAAGGAAUUGACGGAAGGGCACCACCA
rnacentral:rRNA from 1 species